rnacentral:snRNA from 1 species
UACUCGCUUCAGUAACAUACUAAAAUUGGAAUGAUACAGAGACGAUUAACAUGGCCCCUAAGCAAGAAUAACACAUGGAUUCCUAAAGUGUUCCAUAUUUUA